UGGGGAAUUUUGGGCAAUGGGCGGAACCUGAUCCAGCAAUGCCGCGUGUGUGAAGAAGGCCUUCGGGUUGUAAAGCACUUUUGUCCGGAAAGAAAUCCUUGGCUCUAAUACAGUCGGGGGAUGACGGUACCGGAAGAAUAAGCACCGGCUAACUACGUGCCAGCAGCCGCGGUAAUACGUAGGGUGCAAGCGUUAAUCGGAAUUACUGGGCGUAAAGCGUGCGCAGGCGGUUUGCUAAGACCGAUGUGAAAAUCCCCGGGCUCAACCUGGGAACUGCAUUGGUGACUGGCAGGCUAGAGUAUGGCAGAGGGGGGUAGAAUUCCACGUGUAGCAGUGAAAUGCGUAGAGAUGUGGAGGAAUACCGAUGGCGAAGGCAGCCCCCUGGGCCAAAUACUGACGCUCAUGCACGAAAAGCGUGGGGAGCAAAACAGGAUUAGAUACCCUGGUAGUCCACGCCCUAAAACGAUGUCAACUAGUUGUUGGGGA
rnacentral:rRNA from 1 species